rfam:Colwellia sp. 39_35_sub15_T18 BD02T18sub15_scaffold_7, whole genome shotgun sequence.
CUUCUUCAACUUGCUGGGGACAAAUAAAAUGAAUAUGUGCAUCGAUACCGCCAGCAGUAAGUAUUUGUCCUUCACCUGCGAUAACUUCAGUACCUGGGCCAAUCUCAAUAUCUAUAUUGUCUUGAAUGUCAGGGUUGCCCGCUUUACCAAUAAUGGCGAUACGCCCGUCUUUAAUCCCCACAUCGGCUUUAACAAUCCCCCAAUGGUCAAGAAUAAGUGCAUUGGUGAUCACUAAAUCGACGGUUGCAUAACAUGACGCCUGACUUUGCCCCAUGCCGUCGCGAAU